rnacentral:rRNA from 1 species
UACAUGGGGUGCAAACGUUGCUCGGAAUUAUUGGGCGUAAAGCGCACGUAGGCGGUUUGUUAAGUCGGAUGUGAAAUCCCUCGGCUCAACUGAGGAAGUGCAUCCGAAACUGGCAAGCUUGAGUACGAAAGAGGGUCGCGGAAUUCCCGGUGUAGAGGUGAAAUUCGUAGAUAUCGGGGGGAACACCGGUGGCGAAGGCGGCGACCUGGGUCGAUACUGACGCUGAGGUGCGAAAGCGUGGGGAGCAAACAGG